rfam:Picea glauca, whole genome shotgun sequence.
GCAAGGGUGUCUUUAGACACCACCCUUUAUAUUUGAAAUUUUUUGU